rnacentral:rRNA from 1 species
UACGUAGGUGUCGAGCGUUGUCCGGAUUUAUUGGGCGUAAAGCGCCCGCAGGCGGCUUGGCAAGUUUGAGGUGAAAUCUCCCGGCUCAACUGGGAGGGUGCCUCGAAAACUGCCAGGCUUGAGUCAUGGAGAGGGAUGUGGAAUUCCAGGUGUAGUGGUGAAAUGCGUAGAUAUCGGGAGGAACACCAGUGGCGAAAGCGGCCGACUGGGCCCAACCUGACGCUGAGGCGCGAAAGCGUGGGGAGCGAACCGG